UACGUAGGGUGCAAGCGUUAAUCGGAAUUACUGGGCGUAAAGCGUGCGCAGGCGGUUGUGCAAGACAGAUGUGAAAUCCCCGGGCUCAACCUGGGAAUUGCAUUUGUGACUGCACGGCUAGAGUGUGUCAGAGGGGGGGUAGAAUUCCACAUGUAGCAGUGAAAUGCGUAGAGAUGUGGAGGAAUACCGAUGGCGAAGGCAGCCCCCCUGGGAUAACACUGACGCUCAUGCACGAAAGCGUGGGGAGCAAACAGG
rnacentral:rRNA from 1 species